rnacentral:rRNA from 1 species
CAGGAUGAACGCUGGCGGUCUGCUUAACACAUGCAAGUCGAACGAAUCCCUUCGGGGAUUAGUGGCGGACGGGUGAGUAGCGCGUGAGAAUCUGCCUUCAGGUUCGGGACAACCACUGGAAACGGUGGCUAAUACCGAAUGUGCCGCAACGUGAAAGAUUUAUCGCCUGAAGAUGAGCUCGCGUCCGAUUAGCUAGUUGGUGAGGUAAAAGCUCACCAAGGCGACGAUCGGUAGCUGGUCUGAGAGGAUGACCAGCCACACUGGGACUGAGACACGGCCCAGACUCCUAUGGGAGGCAGCAGUGGGGAAUUUUCCGCAAUGGGCGCAAGCCUGACGGAGCAAGACCGCGUGAGGGAGGAAGGCCCAAGCGGUUGUAAACCUCUUUUCUCAGGGAAGAAGAAAGUGACGGUACCUGAGGAAUCAGCCUCGGCUAACUCCGUGCCAGCAGCCGCGGUAAUACGGAGGAGGCAAGCGUUAUCCGGAAUUAUUGGGCGUAAAGCGUCCGUAGGUGGUUAUGUAAGUCUGCUGUCAAAGCACAGGGCUUAACCCUGUAAAGGCAGUGGAAACUACAAGACUCGAGUGUGGUAGGGGCAGAGGG